rnacentral:lncRNA from 1 species
UUUUUUGCACACAUGGUUUAGACCAAAUGGUUAUCAGUAUUUCUGGAUUUGAAUUGAAAUAAGUCAAGACUAAUGUUUACAUAAGUUAUGACUUGGUAACAGAUCGAUUUAAGCUUAUUUCAUAGUUUUGAUUAUUUCAUGACAGUAUUUGACAUAUUUGGAUAAUGUGGGUGUUUAUGUAUUAUUUUUUCCGAUUCGUUCUGGGUGUAAACGGUUUAAUGUUACCUUGUGCGGUAGAUUUCGAGGAGUAAAUUUUGGUGUUUAUUUUGAUUCAUCUUGUGUUGUAGUAUAAAUGCUAUAAAAAUAAUUCUGCAAAUUGUUAAGUUAUGCCAUUGCUGUUCGGUUGUGUCAAUCCCAUAAUUUAUGUUUCAUUUUGAUUAAAGUUUGUGUAAAUAUUGUACUAUCCUCCUUUCAAUUGCAUCUUCAAUUCUCAAUGAUGUUUUGUGCUUGAGAUUGGUGUUAUAAUAUUGCGCGGU